rnacentral:piRNA from 1 species
UCCAGGCAGGACAGGAAAAGGUGG